rnacentral:rRNA from 1 species
AGAGUUUGAUCAUGGCUCAGGGCUAACGCUGGCGGCGUGUCUUAGCCAUGCAAGUCGUGCGGGGGUAAGAGAUGAACCUUCGGGUUCGACUCUUACCCUAGCGGCGGACGGCGGAGUAACACGUGGCUAACCUGCCCCUGGGAGGGGGAUAACCACCCGAAAGGGUGGCUAAUACCCCAUACAGUCCUGAAGGGGCAUCCCUUUAGGAUGAAAGCGGGCCUCUGCUUGCAUGCUCGCGCCCAGGGAGGGGGCCGCGGCCUAUCAGGUAGUUGGUGGGGUAAUGGCCCACCAAGCCUAUGACGGGUAGCCGGCCUGAGAGGGUGGCCGGCCCGAGGGGCACUGAGACACGGGCCCCACUCCUACGGGAGGCAGCAGGCUAGAAAUUUGGGCAAUGGGGGAAACCCUGACCCAGCGACGCCGCGUGCGGGAUGAAGCCCUUCGGGGUGUAAACCGCUGUCAGGGGGGACGAUGGGUUACUGGGCUAAUACCCCAGUAACUUGACGGUACCCUCAGAGGAAGCCCAGGCUAACCUCGUGCCAGCAGCCGCGGUAAUACGGGGUGGGCAAGCGUUGCCCGGAUUCACUGGGCUUAAAGGGGGUGUAGGCGGUCCGGCAAGUCAGACGUGUAAUCCAACGGCUCAACCGUUGGACUGCGUCUGAUACUGCCGGACUUGAGGGCGGCAGAGGAGAGCGGAACUCCCGGUGUAGCGGUGAAAUGCGUAGAUAUCGGGGGGAACGCCGGUGGGCGAAAGGCGGCUCUCUGGGCCGUCCCUGACGCUGAGGCCCGAAAGCCAGGGGAGCGAAGGGGAUUAGAU